rnacentral:rRNA from 1 species
GACGAACGCUGGCGGCGUGCUUAACACAUGCAAGUCGAACGGAAAGGCCCUGCUUUUGUGGGGUGCUCGAGUGGCGAACGGGUGAGUAACACGUGAGUAACCUGCCCUUGACUUUGGGAUAACUUCAGGAAACUGGGGCUAAUACCGGAUAGGAGCUCCUGCUGCAUGGUGGGGGUUGGAAAGUUUCGGCGGUUGGGGCUGGACUCGCGGCUUAUCAGCUUGUUGGUGGGGUAGUGGCUUACCAAGGCUUUGACGGGUAGCCGGCCUGAGAGGGUGACCGGCCACAUUGGGACUGAGAUACGGCCCAGACUCCUACGGGAGGCAGCAGUGGGGAAUACUGCACAAUGGGCGGAAGCCUGAUGCAGCAACGCCGCGUGCGGGAUGACGGCCUUCGGGUUGUAAACCGCUUUCGCCUGUGACGAAGCGUGAGUGACGGUAAUGGGUAAAGAAGCACCGGCUAACUACGUG